rnacentral:lncRNA from 1 species
GCACGAUCCAAAGAAUGUCCAUAUACACCAUAGGGGACUCAAACCUCCCGGCAUACCAAGGUGACUUAAGCACCCAAUCAUGUAAUAUAAUAUGGGGGAUUGAAUGUAAUACCCUGUACUUUUCCUAGCUAAUUUUAUCUCAAGAAUGUCUAGGAUUAGAUUCUAAAUUGAAUGAUGGUUAUUCCAUGAGUAAUUUUUAAGAUUUUCACUUUUUUUCAUGUAGGAAAUUCAAUAAGCUUUCCAUCGAUAUAAGAUUCAUCCAAAUCUGAUAACCGGGUAAAAAAUUACGACUAUUUCAAGUUCUCAUCAUAAAACAGCACCAUACUAGUUAGUGGCGCGCCGCGCCACAAGAGAAAAUGGCAUUUGGAAAAUUACAGUAGGGGUCCACAAUUAUGGCACAUCACACUAGGGCCCAAAUUCAGA